AAAUUUUAAAUUAUUUUAAUUUCUGGUUUGAGCUUUUUGAAUCUUUAUAAUUAAGUACCACGACACAAUUUAGUUGAGCAAAUAUUGGUGUGUUACUAAUUUGGAACUAAUGUGGCAUUUUAGUCACUCUCGUAACAUCAAUCACGAUAUCGCCACAUCUCCUCCACAUUAAUGAUACAUUAAAUGUUUUACUGAAAGUAGAGAGAAAGUGAAAUAGUUUUCCGCCACAACUGUCUAUUUUUGUUAUUUAGUCCGUUCGUAACUUUAUUUUUGGCGGAAAUUCAAACUUUCCAAACUAAUGUACGCAAGCCGAAAUAAAUUACAAAAGAAAAAGAGAAAAGAUUAAUGAAAUAUCAACCCAUCUCUCACACCUCCGGCUUUUACAUCAUUCACUUUUCGUUAAACAAACAGCAAAACUAGGAGAACUUUAGUUGCACAGCUAAGUUUUACUCGAAGUCACUGGUUCGCCUGAAAGUAUAUUAUGA
rnacentral:lncRNA from 1 species